UUCUAGAUUGUGCGUUAAGGAUUGAAGCGGCAUCCUUUUUUGAGCAUCCGAGAAAAAGAUAUAGUAGAAAGCCUGACCUUUA
rnacentral:sRNA from 1 species